CUCCUACGGGAGGCAGCAGUAAGGAAUAUUGGUCAAUGGGCGGAAGCCUGAACCAGCCAUGCCGCGUGCAGGAAGACGGCCCUACGGGUUGUAAACUGCUUUUAUACCGGAAUAAACCCCCGAUCGUGAUCGGGGCUGAAUGUACGGUAAGAAUAAGGAUCGGCUAACUCCGUGCCAGCAGCCGCGGUAAUACGGAGGAUCCAAGCGUUAUCCGGAUUUAUUGGGUUUAAAGGGUGCGUAGGCGGCUUUUUAAGUCAGGGGUGAAAGACGGUAGCUUAACUAUCGCAGUGCCCUUGAUACUGAAGAGCUUGAAUAUACUUGAGGUAGGCGGAAUGUGACAAGUAGCGGUGAAAUGCAUAGAUAUGUCACAGAACACCAAUUGCGAAGGCAGCUUACUAAGGUAUAAUUGACGCUGAGGCACGAAAGCGUGGGGAUCAAACAGGAUUAGAUACCCUGGUAGUCCACGCCCUAAACGAUGAACACUCGAUGUUGGCGAUAUACGGUCAGCGUCAAAGCGAAAGCGUUAAGUGUUCCACCUGGGGAGUACGCCCGCAAGGGUGAAACUCAAAGGAAUUGACGGGGGCCCGCACAAGCGGAGGAGCAUGUGGUUUAAUUCGAUGAUACGCGAGGAACCUUACCCGGGCUUGAAAGUUAGUGAAUGAGGCAGAGACGCCUCAGUCCUUCGGGACACGAAACUAGGUGCUGCAUGGCUGUCGUCAGCUCGUGCCGUGAGGUGUUGGGUUAAGUCCCGCAACGAGCGCAACCC
rnacentral:rRNA from 1 species